AUCGGCAGAUGAUGAAGAUAAUCUUAUCCUACACACUGAAACUUUGUGUGGACUACAACUCCGCUUAUUAUCUGAUGCCAUU